rnacentral:rRNA from 1 species
AUGCUGCUAGGCAUUCUGGUGGCGAGCAUAGCCUACCAGGCCGGGCUGAAACCGCCUGGCGGGGCGUGGCAGAGCAACGACAACGGGUAUGAGGCGGGCAACCCAGUGAUGCACGACAAGAGAAGUCCCCGGUACCUCACCUUCUUUUACAGCAACUCCAUUUCCUUCAUGGCCUCCAUAGUUGUCAUCAUCAUGUUGCUACCGCGAUGGCUGCCACAUAAGAAGGAAGAAGAAUGGGAGAAACGGUCGCUGAGGGUGAUGAACUGGACGAUCCGACUGGGUUUGGUUGCUCUCCUAGUAGCCUAUGCAGCCGGCUCCAACAGGGGGUGGAAGACGUCUGUUUAUGUCGUCACUCUCAUCCUUGCUGUGCUGGGCUACUUUGCAAUCCAUAUAAUACUAUGUAUUUGUGAGCGUAGCAAACUCAAAGGAAGAUUUGCAGCGAGAAGACACAAGGCAUGUCUGCAGCGUAGCUGUAGUAUGUGA